CCUACGGGAGGCAGCAGUAGGGAAUAUUGCUCAAUGGGGGAAAGCCUGAACCAGCAACGCCGCGUGGAGGAUGACGGUUUUCGGAUUGUUAACUCCUUUUGUUAGAGAAGAUAAUGACGGUAUCUAACGAAUAAGCACCGUCUAACUCCGUGCCAGCAGCCGCAGUAAUACGGAGGGUGCAAGCGUUACUCGGAAUCACUGGGCGUAAAGAGCGCGUAGGCGGGAUAGCAAGUCAGAUGUGAAAUCCUCUGGCUUAACCAUAGAACUGCAGUUGAAACUGUUAUGCUAGAGUACGGGAGAGGUAGGUGGAAUUCGUGGUGUAGGGGUAAAAUCCGUAGAGAUCAAGAAGAAUACUGAUUGCGAAGGCGACCUGCUAGAACAUAACUGACGCUGAUGCGCGAAAGCGUGGGGAUCAAACAGGAUUAGAUACCCGAGUAGUC
rnacentral:rRNA from 1 species